UACGAAAGGUGCAAGCGUUACUCGGAAUCACUGGGCGUAAAGCGCACGUAGGCGGACUCGUAGGUCAGUUGUGAAAUACCUGGGCUCAACCUGGGAACUGCAGUUGAAACUACUUGUCUUGAAUACCUGAGAGGGUGGGGGAAUACCUGGUGGAGAAGUGAAAUUCGUAGAGAUCAGGAGGAACACCGGAGGCGAAGGCGCCUGCCUGGCAGUGUAUUGACGCUGAGGUGCGAAAGUGCGGGGAGCAAACAGG
rnacentral:rRNA from 1 species